UGCAGGGCUGGAUAUUGAGACCAGGGCUUCACACACGCAAACCCAGAACUCUCGCACUGAGCUGCAUCCCCAGCCCGGGGCAGGGCGUUGGCCUCAUUUGCUAGGAUCUGGAACCAUCCUAGAACAGCUGUUGUUACAGACGUAGCCCAGCCUCUGAGAAUCACACAGCUGUGGCUCUUAUGUGUGCCCUGUGUUUGGUUUCCUUUUUUUUUUUUUUAAACUAAAAUUGAAUUUUACUUCUGCAUAAACAAUGCCAGCUUUAGGUAGGUAAGGAUGGGAAGGCGCUAUGUUAUCUGUGUUUCUGGUUGGAGGCUGUUGUUGUACAGUGGGCCUCGUCUGCUCUUUUAUCUUUCCGUGUGCACCACUUACACCAUGUACUUACGCAUGCCUUCUCCUAACUGUCCCCUGGGGGAGGCAUUAAGUCAGUACACUCUAGAACGAGUAAGUUUCACUAAUGGUUUAAGUGUAAUUACGAUCUGAAAUUUAUUUUUCUUUUCCAACUUAAUCUUAAGGAAGUUCGAAUACAGGACCUGUACAGUAUGUGUUAAAGUUCCUUUUUCCUAAAUGCCUGAGACCCGUGGUGUUUCAGAUUUUAGAAUAAAAAAUGUUUUGAAAUAUUUGCAUCUAUUAUGUAAUCUAUAUUUUAUACAUAUAUACACAUAUGUAUAUACAUAUAGGGAGGGGGGAAGAGAGAUAUGGAACCCAAAUAGAGCUAUAAAAUUCCUUUAUGCUUCACACGCACUUGCCCUGUGCACAUAGCUUGAGGGAAACUGCGCUCAAUGUUUUAGUGUCUGAGGGUGACCGACCUGCAGAUCAUAGGAGGCCAGUUGUGCGGUUUUCACCCGGGUCAUGCCAUUCAAGGUUGGAAUUCUGGAGCAUUUCCGGUUUCAGGUUAAGUGUGUUCAACCCGGACUGUUAACUAGUAAGUUGCUGUGUGUUCUAUGACUGUAGCUAAUGUUUAGCUUGCCUCAAAUUUUUUGAAUUGAUUUUUAGUCUUAAAUUCUCCUUAAUGGAUGAGCUACACGGGGAAUUUUCUUCUUUUUAACCAUGUCUCUGUAGCAUAAUUACUGGGGUAAAGUAGACUCUGCAUGUUCUUGUGAGGAUGUAAACAUGAAGGGGACCCACAGUCUCCCGAGGGUCUGUAGAUUCAUUGUUGCUGCUGCUGUUAAACUGUGCAGUCUCAACAUCUGAAUGGGCAAAUAUUCGCAGAACACUGGAGACAGGCAAAGAGCACCGGACCCUGUGCUUGGUGCUACGUCCUCCCAGGAUUUGGUUCAUAUGGACCACAUCCCAAACUGCCUUGGGAAGUUUUGAGGAAGGGCUUCUAAAAUAUUUUAAAACAUGUGAAUCACUUCUGUCUGUUUAAACAGAAAAAAAAAGUUGAUGUCAGGUCAUUUUUAGAAGAAUAGUUCUCUCACUUUAUAGUAUCUUUUUUAAAGAAAGAAAACCUUUCCGAGGGCUUUUGUGUUCUGUGAUUUCUAACUUUUACUUGAAGCAGUCUUCUGAAGCAUGUCCCACGCCAUUGGACUAACUCGAUGGGGACUGUCCUCUCUGUGCCCAUUAGCAAUCUCCAGUCAGCCAUAAGAUGGGAUAAACUACUUUGCUACUACUGUAGGCCUCUGUGGUCUAACAGCAUAGCUGAGGAUGGUGUGUUCGGGUGUGUCAGUAUUUUCAAAAGCAAUCUCUGCUAUUGUGAUUAUAAUUAUUUUUGUUUUAAUAGAUGCAUAUUAAAAUUUGUAGAAAAAAUCUAA
rnacentral:lncRNA from 1 species